rnacentral:rRNA from 1 species
GACGAACGCUGGCGGCGUGCUUAACACAUGCAAGUCGAACGGAAAGGCCCCUUUGGGGGUACUCGAGUGGCGAACGGGUGAGUAACACGUGAGUAACCUGCCCUUGACUUCGGGAUAACUUCAGGAAACUGGGGCUAAUACCGGAUAGGAAUCCUUGCUGCAUGGUGGGGGUUGGAAAGCUUCGGGGGUUUUGGAUGGACUCGCGGCUUAUCAGCUUGUUGGUGGGGUAGUGGCUUACCAAGGCUUUGAUGGGUAGCCGGCCUGAGAGGGCGACCGGCCACAUUGGGACUGAGAUACGGCCCAGACUCCUACGGGAGGCAGCAGGGGGGAAUAUUGCACAAUGGGCGGAAGCCUGAUGCAGCAACGCCGCGGGCGGGAAGACGGCCUUCGGGUUGUAAACCGCUUUCAGCAGGGGCGAAGCUUGUGGUGACGGUACCUGCAGAAGAAGCACCGGCUAACUACGUG